ACUAUAUAUUAAAGAAAGUAGUCUUUGAAGAAACGACAAUGAAGAACGCCAUUCCCAUGCCAGUUUACCCUAAAAAUAUCAAUCCUCCAAAUUCGGCGCUUCAAUCCCACGAUCUCUCACGCUUUCAACUCCUCGCCCACGAAUUCUUCUAUAUUGGAUUUCAGUCCUAUAUUGGCGCUUCAAUCCCACUAUCUCUCCCACGAUUUCAUCUCCUCACCCACGAUUUCUUCUGCCUCGGAUUCUCAGUACCAUGAUUUCACAGUUUUGUCAAAUUAGUUUUUUACUUUUACAGCAUAUAGUUCUAUUUUUUCUCCCUUAUGUGCGUAUGAAACAACAACUAUAGACUACAAGAGGUGAUUGGUAUGAUUUAUGUUUCAUGAACAAUUUUAUUCCAAUUGAGAUUGUAUUGAUAAUGUCUGUGAAGUUUGUUGACGGCGUUUGUUAUAUAAAAAAACCCGGUAUCUAUGGCAGCUAUUGUUUACCAAUCUUGGGGUUUACCACAGAUUCUUGCUCAUGUGCCGUCGUUGCAUUUCACAUGCAUUUUUUGGAGAAUUAUCAGCCACAAGUCAAUUAUUUCAGAUGAUCUAUUGCUUCAUAUGUAUUUCUAUAAGCAUUUUGUUGGAGUUUCUACUUAUAUUUAUAAAUACCUCUAUCUAUUUCAGGACUUACUGGUGGCUGAAAUAUAUUUGGUUAGUGAAAUUAACAGCAAGUCAAUGAGUUGGAAAUUAAAGGUUCGAAUUGUCAGGCUUUGGAAAAAUUCGGAUCGCAAAGACCUGAUAACCCUUUUUCCAAUUGAGAUUAUUCUGAUGGAUUAAAAGGUCUAAUAUCAGAAAAGGAGAGUUUGUGCAAAUACUUCGACGUCUAAGCAUUAGGUCCUCUAGAGGAAGAGCAAAAUACAGGGGAGCCACGAUGCACAAAUGUGGACGAUAGGAAGCUCAGUUUUUUGCACUUUCUCAGACGUACGAUAAGACUUGUAUAAAGUGCAACAGAAGGGAGGCAAUUACUAAUUUUGAACUGAGCACAUAUGAAGGGGAAUUAAGUUCAGAUGCUGAAAAUGGAGAAUCAGUUUACUACAAUCAAGCGUGGCAUUUUAUUGUAGCUACUUUGAAACACUUGUGUAUAGUCCAGUUCUUGAUUUGGACAGAGUAUUUCUUGCAAACAAGUACUACUCUUUCAGCGGUAAUUGAUAUCCUUGAUGAAGAAAAAAUUGGAAAGACAAUUGCAAAAUGUUGGAUGAUUUACUGGAAAGUCGUCUUCUCCAGAAAAUCACAUCUAUUUUUAAAUAUCAGAUAGGCUCCAUAUGCCACUAGCAGCUUUUAUGGUUACAAAAGUAUGGCCAGAUUAUUGCCUUCAAUAGAGCAGACUACAAUGAAGUAGUUUUUAUCCAAUUUAACCCCUGAUAUUUGAGGUAUUUAAAAACUCCAUUGAUGGUAAUUCAAGUAACUUGGUCGAUUUAUUUGAUUAAUUAAUGUAGAAGUAUACUUUAAGUCCUUAUGGAUUAGUAGGAGUAUUUAUUUGGUCUCUCUUUAAUUUUCUUUUUGUUGUCA